AGAGUGUUAUGAUGAUGGAAUGAACAAUUGGUUUAUUCCAAGUCUAGCUCGAAACUUCUCUUGAAUGAAAAUGGGUU
rfam:Carnobacterium sp. CP1, complete genome.